rnacentral:rRNA from 1 species
AUGCUGUUGCCCGCUGCUUCCUCGCCUCCCCUGUCGCGGGUGGCGACCUCCAGCGCCCACGGCGAGGACUCCCCCUACUUCGCCGGGUGGAGGGCCUACGACGACGACCCCUACGACGCCGUCACCAACCCCGGCGGCGUCAUCCAGAUGGGCCUCGCGGAGAACCAGGUCUCCUUCGACCUCCUGGAGGGGUUCCUCAGGGAGCACCCGGAGGCGGCCGGGUGGGGCGGCGCCCGCCCCGGCUCCGGCGUCGCCAGCUUCCGGGACAACGCCCUCUUCCAGGACUACCACGGCCUCAAAACCUUCCGGAAGGCGAUGGCGAGUUUCAUGGAGAAGAUAAGGGGCGGAAAGGUGAGGUUUGACCCUGACCGCAUCGUGCUCACCGCCGGCGCGACGGCGGCCAACGAGCUGCUCACGUUCAUCCUCGCCAACCCGGGAGACGCGCUGCUCAUCCCUACGCCGUACUACCCGGGGUUUGAUCGGGACUUGCGGUGGAGGACGGGGGUGAACAUCGUGCCCGUGCACUGCCACAGCUCCAACGGCUUCCAGGUCACGGUCGCCGCGCUCGAGGCGGCGUACGAGGAGGCCGCGGCGGCGGGGAUGAGCGUCCGCGGCGUCCUUCUCACGAACCCGUCCAACCCGCUCGGCACGACGGUGGAGCGGUCGGCGCUGGAGGACGUCCUCGACUUCGUCGUGCGCAAGAACAUCCACCUCAUCUCCGACGAGAUAUACUCCGGCUCCGUGUUCGCCGCGCCGGACCUCGUCAGCGUGGCGGAGCUCGUCGAGUCGCGCGGCGACGACGUCGCCGGGCGCGUGCACAUCGUGUACAGCCUCUCCAAGGACCUGGGGCUCCCGGGGUUCCGCGUCGGCGUGGUGUACUCGUACAACGACGCGGUGGUCACGGCCGCGCGGCGCAUGUCCAGCUUCACGCUCGUGUCGUCGCAGACGCAGAAGACGCUCGCCGCCAUGCUCUCCGACGCCGCGUUCGCACAGGAGUACAUCCGCACCAACCGCGAGCGCCUCAGGGUGCGGCACGACCACAUGGUGGCCGGGCUGGCCCGCUCCGGCGUGCCGUGCCUGCCCAGCAAUGCCGGGCUGUUCGUGUGGAUGGACAUGCGGCGGCUGCUCCGUGACGGCGGUGAGGCCACGGUCGCCGACGAGCUGCGGCUGUGGGACCUGAUGCUGCGCGAGGUGAAGCUCAACAUCUCGCCGGGGUCGUCGUGCCAUUGCUCGGAGCCCGGGUGGUUCAGGGUGUGCUUCGCCAACAUGAGCCUGGACACGCUGGACGUUGCACUGGCGAGGAUGAGCCGCUUCAUGGACAGGUGGAACAAGGCGACAACGCUGCAGGAACAGCACUAG